GCAUCCAUGGCUGAAUGGUUAAAGCG
rnacentral:tRNA from 1 species